CAAAAGGUGAAGACUGAGAUCAGUAGAACGCAUCCUUCCCUGUCUUAGAGAGCUGAUGGCCGGUGAAAAUCAGCACAUAUGGAUGGUUUGAAUUACACUCAUGAACCGCUUUUGCGAAAAAAGCCUUCCGGGCUUUCUGUAGCAGAAGAACGGAAGCUUUUCCGUUAUCAACGAGAGUGAAAAGAGCGCGGCCAUGCGUUCUUUUAAGCAGGGUGGUACCGCGAUUUUUAUCGUCCCUUCG
rnacentral:ncRNA from 1 species